GCCGCUGACCGUUCGUCCCGGCAAUAGUCAAUCGUUUGCCAUCCAGGAGAAGUCUACGACUGCCACACGACGAUGAAGACUUAUUGAGACGACUACAACAGCGACGACCAAGACUUGGACGACUAUCACCACGACUUAAGACGACUAUGUCGACGACCAAAACUACAACGAUGGUAAAUAUAGUACAACGCGGCCAGGUGUAGCAGCGAAAUAUGCCGCCAUCGCCCAUUAUAACGUACACGAGUAAUGCGUGUGACGGAAUUACGUCUGGAGAAUCGGAAUCAACGGAUUAUGCCCGCAAUGUACACACACGACCGAACGUCGCGUACUGCAUAAUAUAUGAUUAUUCCAACACAAUGGUGCGGCGGCAAUACUACGGCGGCGCGGAAGUGAAGAGGAAACGAAAAACAAUAACAGAGAUGUGUGGCACCGGUUACAAUGUGAUUCACAAUGAGCUGCUGCAGUUCCUCGGUCCGUCCGUCCGCCGGCGGUCCGCCCUCCACCGAGCGCCGCUGCUGAGCUGCAAAUGUCGACUCGACGAAUAAUGCGUGGCACCCUGUACGUAUACUAAAUGUAUCCUGAGUGCAUUAUAAAACUGUCCGGUAUACCUUCAGUAUACGUAACAGGGUACCAUACCGAUCGUCCCAAAGUGGUCCCGUGGUGCUGCCUACGACGUCAUCACCGCCGCCUUUUCGCGUACAAUUUUAUUUUUAUAUACAUAUUAGGUGCAUACCUACUACAUAAACACACAUAACGAUUUGUCAUUUUAUUUUUAACAUGCAAAAUAUUAAGAUUGUUACAAAAAAUAAAUUAAUGCAUUGUGGCGGUUGCGCAUUUAAUACACACACACGCACAUUAAAAUAUGUUACAUAAUAAUAACAUCGAAAUAGGUACACAUAUACACAUCUAUAAUUUAUAUACAUAUAAUAUAUAAUACAUAAAUUAUGAUUAUUAUAACAUAAAUUAUUGUUAAUAUUGUUUUACUCGGCAAGCCUACUCGAUUUACAAUUUGUUAUUUUUUUUUUAUAUAUUAUAUUAUUAUCACUAUCUAUUACAAAAUGCCUUACUUUGAAAAAGAAAAACAAUUCAUAAAUAUCUAUUAUAAUAUACUCUAUAAUUGUAUGACUGUUAUCGUCGCGAGAUUGUAAUCGGAAAUAAAAAAUAAUAUACAUACCUAUAUAACAUACAUACUUACAUUUAUAUUUAUAUUAUAUUACAUAUUGUGCAUUAUAUACGCUCGCGAAACCCGUUUGCCCCGAUGGGAAAUUGCACGACAGUAAAUCCGUAAUGUUUACGAUGUUUUCUACGAUACGAAAAACGUGUAGGUUUAUUAUUAUUAUUAUUAUUAGUGUAUAGUAGCAGUUUUAGUAGGUAUAUAUAGCGAAGAGUAGGCUUGCGUGAUGUGUUUUAAUAUACACAUAGAUUUCUAUAAAUAGCGCAUUACAAUAAUAUAAUAUAUUAUAUUACGUAAAAUGUGUAAUAAUAUUAUUAUAAUAUUAUAUGUGACGCAUAUCGUAUGUAUACUUAACGGAUUUUUAAAAACGUUUUGUAAUUUUUUUUUCGAUCAAAUGAUAGCUCAUGUCAUGGGCAUUACAAUAAAAUUGUACGUUUGGGUGGUGUA